AUGCGCGCAUGGAGCAGAGUACUCACCUUCUGGCCCCAGCACUGGCAAGGCCCAAGCUCACCACCAAGGCCGACGAGCUCCCCGAAGCUGUCGUCGUCCAGGAUGCGGGUGCCGCCAUGGCCGGCUUCGUGGGCAUCCUCCGCCAGCUCGGGGACCUCGCACAGUACGUUGCUCCUGUCCUGUCCUGCUGGCUGCUACAAAUUCACCAGACUAGCCCCUGGAUCUGAUCUUCUUCAGGCUCGCCGCGGAGGGCGCGGCGGCUCCAGGCGGAGCCGCCGCUCAUCGAGGAGCGGCUCCGCCGUCGUCGAUUCCGACAGGCUUGUGUACUUCAUCGGCCAGAAGCUCUGUGUGGCAUCGCAGGCCACGGUGUCGAUCAGCCGGUGA
rnacentral:rRNA from 1 species